rfam:[Oscillatoria] sp. PCC 6506, WGS project CACA01000000 data, contig: Contig212
CAAAUACAAAUCAAUAAGCCAUAGACAGCAGGUGUUAACACCUUAAUUUCCUGCCGAGGCUAAGAAAGUAAAAACUUAAAAUUAAGUAAAAGUUAAAAAUGUCUAAUUUUUAAUUUUUAAUCUCUAAUUUUUAAUUUUUAUUUCCUUGCCCCGGCUUGAAAGUCGGGGUUUUUGAUUGGCAGU